UCCGGCGUGGUGUAAUGGUCAACAUUUGGCUCUCUCAUAAAUUUAGGGUGCAGCCAAGCUCGGGGUUCGAUUCCCCGCACCGGAA
rnacentral:tRNA from 1 species